UUAGGAAUAUUGGUCAAUGGGCGGAAGCCUGAACCAGCCAUGCCGCGUGCAGGAAGACGGCCCUACGGGUUGUAAACUGCUUUUGUACGGGAAUAAACCUCGAUAUGUAUAUCGAGCUGAAUGUACUGUAAGAAUAAGGAUCGGCUAACUCCGUGCCAGCAGCCGCGGUAAUACGGAGGAUCCAAGCGUUAUCCGGAUUUAUUGGGUUUAAAGGGUGCGUAGGUGGCCUGUUAAGUCAGGGGUGAAAGACGGUAGCUCAACUAUCGCAGUGCCUUUGAUACUGACGGGCUUGAAUACACUAGAGGUAGGCGGAAUGUGACAAGUAGCGGUGAAAUGCAUAGAUAUGUCACAGAACACCAAUUGCGAAGGCAGCUUACUAUGGUGCGAUUGACACUGAGGCACGAAAGCGUGGGGAUCAAACA
rnacentral:rRNA from 1 species